CAGCAUCCAAGGUCAGACCAGUUCUGUUAGGCCUUGCCAUCUGCUCACUCUGGUGGGGAGCUGGGGGUAAAGAGAUAAAUAAGCCAGGAAGGACAAAUAUCAGGCGCAGUGGUCUCCGCUCCCGUUACGCCUCCACAUUUCCAGGCAUUGACUGCACACUUCAAAGGACCUCCGCAGGGAGGAAAUGAGCUUCUCCCUCCGUGCCCUCCACACUCAGGUGAGGACUGAGGUCACCAGCUGGAGGGGUUCACCACGGGUGGGGCCCAGCCGACUCACUGGCCCACUGACAGGCUUCCUGACUUACUGACUGGCUGAAGAGCUGGUCAACCGGCAAGCUAAUGGAGAGCCUGACCCCCAGGCUGACAGACAGUGAUGGCAGAGCCAGUGAAGUGGCUGAUACAUCAGCAGACAGUUGGCCCAACUGAUAGUCAAGGGGACUACUGACCAGUCAACAGACCAACAGUCCACUCAGUGACUGCAGGUGGGCUGUAGGUUAACCUGCCUGCCUCCCCAAAAGCCGAGAUGACCAGCUGACCGAGUGACCGGCAGGCUGAUGAAUCAACCCACUCGCAUACUGGCAGAAGAGCGUGGAAAGGAAAAGAGAUCUGGUGAGGGACCAGCUAAGCAACCGCUGACCAGCACAGUAGAAAGGGCCUGACCCAGGGCUCCACAUGGUGAGGACUGCUCUCCAAAGGAAGGCCAGAGACAGUAAGAGGGGAGUGUGUGUGCGCACACACGUGCGGUCAGGCACUCAUUCAUGCCUGACUCUUUACAACCCCAUGGACUAUAGCCCGCCAGGCUCCUCUGUCCAUGGGACUGUCCAGGCAAGAAUACUGGGUUGGGUUGCCAUCUUCUUCUCCAGGGGAUCUUCCCGACCCAGGGAUCGAACCCACAUCCCUGUGUCUCCUGUAUUGGCAGGUGGAUUCUUACCAAUGCGCCACCUGGGAAGCCCAGGGAGAUGCGAAAAAAAGACAGAAAACUGAAAUGCCCACUACUCAGUGAGGACUCUGAGUAGUGAUUAGGUUGGAGGUAGCCCAACGUGGUUGACGUCUAGAGUUGCGUAAAGAGACUUGGAGACUUCAACCCAAGAUCAAGCUGUGGUUUUGCUAUUUAGGUAUCUCUUGUGAUGACUGAGUCAGAUAAGCAAAUGAGUAAGUAAGUUCAGUCCUGGCCUCUCUGAAACAUCAUUCUGACCCUCCUUGUAUAUUCCCAUCAGGAACUCAGCAGACCCACGCGUUCUCCUAUAGGUGUAGACGUGAGGACAUAAAAUGCAGUCACGACGCUGUUCUGGUCAUAGGAUUAUGAAUGAUUAUUUUUCCUUUCAUUUUCUAAUUGUAUCCUGUAGUGGGGCUGUAUUAUUUUGCAAUGGAAAAAUCACAUUUAUAGUUUUAAAAGAAAAAAUAAAACAAAUUUAGUCCCUUCCUCUCUCUUGCUCCAUACCCA
ensembl:lncRNA